GAUAAAAUAGAAUAAUCGAGUUCGUUUCUUUUACACUGAAAGGGUCAAUAUUUAGUUGUUUUAUUA
rnacentral:tRNA from 1 species